GACGAACGCUGGCGGCGUGCUUAACACAUGCAAGUCGAACGGAAAGGCCCUGCUUUUGUGGGGUGCUCGAGUGGCGAACGGGUGAGUAACACGUGAGUAACCUGCCCUUGACUUUGGGAUAACUUCAGGAAACUGGGGCUAAUACCGGAUAGGAGCUCCUGCUGCAUGGUGGGGGUUGGAAAGUUUCGGCGGUUGGGGAUGGACUCGCGGCUUAUCAGCUUGUUGGUGGGGUAGUGGCUUACCAAGGCUUUGACGGGUAGCCGGCCUGAGAGGGUGACCGGCGACAGUGGGACUGAGAGAGGGCGCAGACGGCUACGGGAGGCAGCGGUGGGGAAGAUUGCGCAAUGGGCGGAAGCGUGAUGCAGCAACGCCGCGUGCGGGAUGACGGCCUUCGGGUUGUAAACCGCUUUCGCCGGUGACGAAGCGUGAGUGACGGUAAUGGGUAAAGAAGCACCGGCUAACUACGUG
rnacentral:rRNA from 1 species